GCUGGGCAUGGUGGCUCAUGCCUGUAAUCCCAGCACUUUGGGAGGCUGAGGCGGGUGGAUCACUUGAGGCCAGGAGUUCAAGACCAGCCUGGCCAACAUGGUGAGACCUGUCUCUA
rnacentral:SRP_RNA from 2 species